AUUGAACGCUGGCGGCAGGCCUAACACAUGCAAGUCGAACGAGUGGCGGACGGGUGAGUAAUGUCUGGGAAUCUGCCUGGUAGUGGGGGAUAACUACUGGAAACGGUAGCUAAUACCGCAUACCAUCAGAUGUGCCCAGAUGGGAUUAGCUUGUUGGUGGGGUAACGGCUCACCAAGGCGACGAUCCCUAGCUGGUCUGAGAGGAUGACGAGCCACACGGGAACUGAGACAGGGUCCAGACUCCUACGGGAGGCAGCAGGGGGGAAUAGUGCACAAUGGGGGAAAGCCUGAUAGAGCCAUGCCGCGUGUAGGAAGAAGGCCUUCGGUUUGUAAAGUACUUGCAGCGGGGAGGCGUUACCCGAAGAAGAAGCACCGGCUAACUCCGUGCCAGCAGCCGCGGUAAUAC
rnacentral:rRNA from 1 species